rnacentral:rRNA from 1 species
AUUGAACGCUGGCGGCAGGCCUAACACAUGCAAGUCGAGCGGCAGCGGGAAAGUAGCUUGCUACUUUUGCCGGCGAGCGGCGGACGGGUGAGUAAUGCCUGGGAAAUUGCCCAGUCGCGGGGGAUAACAGUUGGAAACGACUGCUAAUACCGCAUACGCCCUACGGGGGAAAGCAGGGGACCUUCGGGCCUUGCGCGAUUGGAUAUGCCCAGGUGGGAUUAGCUAGUUGGUGAGGUAAUGGCUCACCAAGGCGACGAUCCCUAGCUGGUCUGAGAGGAUGAUCAGCCACACUGGAACUGAGACACGGUCCAGACUCCUACGGGAGGCAGCAGUGGGGAAUAUUGCACAAUGGGGAAACCCUGAUGCAGCCAUGCCGCGUGUGUGAAGAAGGCCUUCGGGUUGUAAAGCACUUUCAGCGAGGAGGAAAGGUUGAUGCCUAAUACGUAUCAACUGUGACGUUACUCGCAGAAGAAGCACCGGCUAACUCCGUGCCAGCCGCCGCCGUAACAC